rnacentral:rRNA from 1 species
AUUGAACGCUGGCGGCAGGCCUAACCCAUGCAAGUCGAACGAGUGGCGGACGGGUGCGUAAUGUCUGGGAAACUGCCUGAUGGAGGGGGAUAACUACUGGAAACGGUAGCUAAUACCGCAUACCCUCAGAUGUGCCCAGAUGGGAUUAGCUAUUUGGUGGGGUAACUGCUCCCCAAGGCGCCGAUCCCUAGCUGGUCUGAGAGGAUGACCAGCCACACUGGAACUGAGACACGGUCCAGACUCCUACAGUAGGCAGCAGUGCGGAAUAUUGCACAAUGGGCGCAAGGCUGAUGCAGCCAUGCCGCGUGUAUGAAGAAGGCCUUCGAGUUGUAAAGUACUUUCAGCGGUGAUGCGUUAUCAGCAGAAGAAGCACCGGCUAACUCCGUGCCAGCAACCGCGUUAAUC